CGGCGAUCUGGAGUGGAUCGGCGCCGAGUGGCUGCGGGCCGUCCGCGACGCCGUCGUCCACGCCGCGGUUCCGACCGCCGUCGCCGC
rnacentral:tRNA from 1 species